UACGGAGGGUGCAAGCGUUAUCCGGAUUCACUGGGUUUAAAGGGUGCGUAGGCGGGGUGGUAAGUCCGUGGUGAAAUCUCCGAGCUUAACUCGGAAACUGCCGUGGAUACUAUCAAUCUUGAAUAUCGUGGAGGUAAGCGGAAUAUGUCAUGUAGCGGUGAAAUGCGCAGAUAUCGGGAAGAACACCCGUGGCGAAGGCGGUUCUCUGGGACGGUACUGACGCUGAGACGCGAAAGCGUGGGGAGCGAACAGG
rnacentral:rRNA from 1 species